rnacentral:rRNA from 1 species
UACGGAGGGUGCGAGCGUUGUCCGGAAUCAUUGGGCGUAAAGGGCGCGUAGGUGGCCCGGUCAGUUCGUGGUGAAAGCGCGGGGCUCAACCCUGCGUCGGCCAUGAAUACUGCUGGGCUUGAGCACUGUAGAGGCAGGCGGAAUUCCGGGUGUAGCGGUGGAAUGCGUAGAGAUCCGGAAGAACACCGGUGGCGAAGGCGGCCUGCUGGGCAGUUGCUGACACUGAGGCGCGACAGCGUGGGGAGCAAACAG